AACAGCUAGCAAACAAAUCGUUGGUGUCGGGCCCCUUGCUUUGAGAAUAAGUCAAUUAAAUGGCCGUUUCAGCAUUACCUGCGUGUCUAAACUGAAUGCUAGAAGUGCCGGUAUCAAGUUUGCCGAAUUCUUUCUAAUCGCUUGAAUUUGCCCAUAAUGCUACCAAGCCUACCAGAUCUGUUAUGCUGUAUCCAGAAUUCUUUAAUCAAUUUGAUUGUGAUGGUGACUUAAGGAAAAUAACAUGUUCAAGUGCUGGGGGUUUAGCUAGAGAGCUCUGUGGCAAGAUACAGGCACUCAAGGAGCUACCGUCUGUUGAUGAGGCCAUAGAAAGCAGUACCACACAGGAAGCACCAAACCACAACACAACACAAGCAGUGCAAAAAAAGACAAACACCACCCCUUUUUGCAACAAGUGAUGCAAAAAGAUCCAAAAAAGAUGACAAAGAUGGCUGUAUAUUGGACCUACGGCAGCGAUGUGAUGAGCAUCUCAUUGACAAUCUUGUGCACUUCAUUCCUAUUGAGAAGCUGGUGCUCCUUCCCAAGCAAAGACAAAGCAGGGAAGUAAAUAAAACCUUUUUGGAUGAUUUGCAAAAACAACUACGAGCAAAGCCUUCUGGAAGCUACCAGAUUUUGUCGGUUUUAACCAAAGAUGUCCAAGAAAAACAACGUUUUGACAAGGAAAGAAUGACAAUGGUAUUGCCACUCUAGCGAGUAAAGUUUUGUGGUGAAGGCGAUUCUGUUCUCUUAUUUCUACCUUCAGCCAUUGCAAUGGCCACCAUCUUGCAAGAGGGACGAAACUGUAUCAUGGUUUCUAUAGAAAGUGAAAAGGAGCUACUACGUAGCAGAGUUUUAGCUGAUUUAGAAAAUUUAAAAGGCAAUGUAGAUGAAGAAGGAGGCAGUACUAAUAAACACAUUGACCCCUGAACCGGCCUGUACCGGCUUUGGGAAGUACCCACAACCCAAAAAAUUCAUAAAUUCAAAAUAAACACAACAAGAUGAAGA